ACGGGUGAGUAACGCGUGGGAAUCUACCCUGAACUGCGGAAUAGCUCCGGGAAACUGGAAUUAAUACCGCAUGUGUCCUGAGGGGCAAAGAUUUAUCGGUUCAGGAUGAGCCCGCGUCCGAUUAGCUAGUUGGUGGGGUAAAGGCCUACCAAGGCGACGAUCGGUAGCUGGUCUAAGAGGAUGAUCAGCCACAUUGGGACUGAGACACGGCCCAAACUCCUACGGGAGGCAGCAGUGGGGAAUAUUGGACAAUGGGCGCAAGCCUGAUCCAGCCAUGCCGCGUGAGUGAUGAAGGCCCUAGGGUUGUAAAGCUCUUUCAGUGGGGACGAUAAUGACGGUACCCACAGAAGAGGCCCCGGCUAACUUCGUGCCAGCAGCCGCGGUAAUACGAAGGGGGCUAGCGUUGUUCGGAAUUACUGGGCGUAAAGCGCACGUAGGCGGACAUUUAAGUCAGGGGUGAAAUCCCGGGGCUCAACCCCGGAACUGCCUUUGAUACUGGGUGUCUUGAGUUCGGAAGAGGUGAGUGGAAUUGCGAGU
rnacentral:rRNA from 1 species